GGCCGGUAUAGCCGAGUUCAUAGCCACUUUUCUUUUCUUGUACAUCUCCGUAUUGACAGUGAUGGGCGUCGUCAAGUCCAACACCAAGUGCUCAACCGUCGGCAUUCAAGGGAUUGCAUGGGCCUUCGGUGGCAUGAUCUUCGCGCUCGUUUACUGCACAGCUGGCAUCUCGGGUUUGUACCAGCUGCGCUUCUGGUUAAUUAAUUUUAUGAGCAAAAUAACUAAAGGGUUCGACAAAAUAAUUUUUGAUUUUUUAAACUUUUUGUUGUGACGCAGGUGGUCAUAUCAACCCGGCGGUGACAUUCGGGCUGUUCUUGGCGAGGAAGCUGUCGUUGACACGUGCACUUUUCUACAUGGUGAUGCAGUGUCUGGGAGCCAUCUGUGGUGCUGGCGUUGUAAAGGGUUUCAUGGGUGCCGGCCAAUACGGUCGGCUCGGCGGCGGUGCCAAUGCUGUAGCUCAUGGCUACACCAAGGGUGAUGGUCUUGGUGCCGAGAUUAUUGGUACUUUUGUUCUUGUCUACACAGUUUUCUCUGCCACUGACGCCAAACGUAGCGCCAGAGACUCUCAUGUUCCUGUAAGUUGAUUCUUUUUCUGGUUAAUGUAUGAUUAAUUAACCAAUAAUAAUCAUAAUUAUUACCUUUACUAAUAACUACCUUAUUGAAUAUGGUUAGAUUUUGGCUCCUUUGCCAAUUGGGUUCGCUGUGUUCUUGGUUCACUUGGCUACUAUCCCUAUUACCGGAACUGGCAUCAACCCCGCAAGGAGUCUUGGAGCUGCAAUCAUCUACAACAAGGACCACGGUUGGGAUGACCAUGUAAGUUUAAUUUACUCUCUUGAUUACCCUAAAAUAAGAUCUCGGUCAUCAAGAUUACACUUGUGGACGUAAAUUCAAUAAUGGUAAUUAAUCAGUUAAUCAUGAUCAAUCUUAUAUAUGGUUUUGAUGCAGUGGAUUUUCUGGGUGGGACCAUUCAUUGGAGCAGCACUUGCAGCUUUGUACCACCAGGUUGUGAUCAGAGCCAUUCCGUUCAAAUCAAGCUGAUGGUCUUAUGAACGGUCGUGAUUGCUGAUGCAUUUGUUUAUGGCUGUCGUUGGUGGUUCUGUUUUAUAUUUUAGAUUAUCCCAAGUCCAUGCAUUUUCGGUUCGUUAAAUUUUCUGGUUGUUUGGUUUUGUGUAUGAAUUUUCUGUAAUGCCUAUGCACAAAGAAGCCGCUGGCAGUGGCUUUAUUUAAAUUUAUGUAGUUUAUUUUUUCUUAAAAAGCAAAGUAAUUUCAUUAAACAAUAAACAGUACAAUAAUGAUACACAAUACUACAAUAGUAGAUCCACACACUCUAAAUAUAUAUAUGCGGAUAAAACUGUAUAUUACAAACAUAUAAUAUAUAUAAUUAAUAAAUGGAUCUUAUCGAAUUUUUUGAAUACUAGCCAACCAAAAAGAAUUUGCCUUAGUUGAAGAGGCGUUGUUAGAAGCAUAAUCAUUAUGUAUUAUGGAACACCAUAUAUAUGCUCGCUAUCGUAUGAAGUUUGCGUGCUGGUAUUUUUUUGCGUUUUGGUUAUAAAUGAAUGUCGUUUGGAGAAUUGUUAUAUAUGUACAUAAAAUUUCAAAUUAAAAAAAAAAAUGGUUAUGAUGCUAUGAUGUAAUAUUGAAGUUUAUGGUCAAUCCAAAAGAAAAUGACUUACAAAGGAAAUGGAAUAGAUUUAAUUUAAUUAACAUUGUCGAUUAUACGACAAUUUUAAAUGGCGGAGGAUUUACUACGUAAAUUUGGAUUCAGUAUUAAGCUGACUUUUUUAAUAAUUUUUUUUAAAGAUACAAUUAAUAGUUAUUAUAUAAGAAAACAAAACUAAUCAACUUUUAAUCGUGUAUAGCUAAACAUGCACGGAUGUUUUGCUCUGUUUUGUUGCAAUGUAAUAUUACUUCUUUGUAUGGUUAAAACCAACAUUGCAUAACUAAAGAAGGGUAAAAGCUCGUUUAGUCUCUAUAUUUUGAAGUUAGUGCCCGUUUAGUCCCUAUAUUUUUAAAAAUACCUUAAACCAUCCCUACCAUUAAAUUAUUGACACUUUUGCCAUUAUCUUUUGUUCCUUUUAACUUAUUUUUAUAAUAUUGCUCUAUUAUAAUAAUUUUUUAGACAUUAUUAAAAAGAAAAAAAUAACCCUAUUAUAAUAAUUUUUUAGACAUUAUUAAAAAGGAAAAAAUAAAUUACCAGUUUAACACCAAAAAAUAAAAUAAAAUAAAAUAAUAUAUAUUAAUUUUUGUGGAACACACUCUUGAGUUAAAAUAUUAAUUUUUCUAAAAAAAUUGAUAAUGUAAUUUUUUACGAUAUUAAUUUUUUAGACAUACGUGAGUUUCCACAAAAAUUAAUAUAUACCUUUUUUGUUUUUAUUUUAUUUUUGAGUUUAAUUUGAUAAUUUAAUUUUUUAUUAAUAUCCAAAAAAGAAACAUUAUUGUAAAAAUGUAAUAUUGUAAAAGCAAGUUAAAAAUAAUAAAAAAUAAUCGCAUAAGUGUCAAUAUUUAGUAACAGGGACGUUUUGAGGUGUUUUUAAAAAUAUAGGGACUAAAUGAACACUAACCUCAUAAUAUAAGGACUAAAUUACAAGCUUUUACCCACUAAAGAAUUAUACAUUGUUUGCUUUUACUUUUUUUUUUUAAUGAAGGAUAGACAUUUGUACAACUAUACGAGAGAAUCACUAGUUUAUUAUAUAAAAAAUAUAUAUGCAAAUAAUGAAACCAAACUUCAAGAGUUUUAUGUGAUGACAUCCCAAAAUGUUAUCCCAAAUUAUAUGGCACGUGAUGUAUCAUUUAUUAAGUGGUUGAUGAUCUUUAAUAAAUUCUAAAUGAAUUAAUUAAAUUAUCUUACCAAUAAGUGAAUAAAUCCACAUCAUUUAGGAUGAAAUUUACUAUUGACUAAUUAAAUUUUUUUACUAUUAAAAAAAUAAUCUAUAGUAUUUCAUUCUUUAAAUGGAUAAGAAUUAAAAGAAUAGAAAUUAUGAGAGUAGAAAAUUAGAUUUAUAGUAUCAAGUAUGUUAAUAACUCUUUAGUUGAGUUGGUUCAUGCCAACUCUUAUUAUCUGAAAGGUCGAGGUUUUGAGUGUUUUAUAUUUAUGAGAGUAAAAUUUAACAUAAAAAAUAGUGUCAAUAUAACCUGCUCCGUUUGGAGGCAAUUUCAUAGAUAGGCUACUUUAUAAAUUUCUCAAUUUUAUAAUUUACUUAAAUAAAAAAGUAAUGUCAUUUUAGUGCAUUUUUAAUUUUUUUUUAACUCAUAUGAUGGUGCAUUUUUUAAUUCAAUAAAAAGGUACAGUCACUUCUUUGUUGUCUAUAGUUUUCAUGUUUAUGUAAUAAAAUUAUGGGUUCAUGUUGUUUCAUAUAUUUAUGUGACGUGACUCGUAUCGUUUUCUAUAUAGGGGCAUGCAGCUUGAAUAUUAUUGAGCUUAAAUUCGCUCAAAUAUUAAGGUCCAUAAAACAUUCCCUCCAAAUAGAUUACAAAUAUAAUUAAAAAGAUGCAUUUAACCUUUCUUUGCCAGAAAGAAAUGACGAAGCUAAUUAAAGCACAAACCCAACUAUUGAUUGCAAAUAUCAUGAAGAUUAUUCAAUAUCAUCCAGACAAAUCACUACAACAAUAACACGCUAUAAGAAACAUGUUAGUUGACAUGAUUGGCAUAAUUAAUUUCCAUGAAUUCGCCAUUAACUACCGUCCUGUGUAAUAUAUAAAAAUACCUGCCAGCAUAAAAUUUCUCUAUGAUUUUGUACUUAUUAAGAGAUAAUCAUUCGCUACAGCUGCCUAAUGCAGGAAGGAUUAUGAUCCUCUCUUAAUAUGAUAUUUUCAUAAAUAAAUUUUAUUAAUGUCGUUGGUGGUUAAUAAAUAAAAAAGUAAAGAUAAUUAAAUCAUAAUUAUAUAUUAGCACCAAAAUACAAGUUGUAUAAAAUCUAUAAAAUAUUAGAAAAACUCAUAUCAUGAGAGGAUUCUAGUCCAUGUAGGAAUAACAUCAAUUAGAAAAAUUAUAAUUCAAAUUAUGUGCAUAAACGCCACCCAAAAAAAAAGAAUACUAUUUUUUACUGUAGUAAUUGAUCUAAAUUCAUUUUUAAGUCGCUUCCAACUCCUGAACUUUUUUUUCGUAAGUAAUACUCAAAAAUUAAGUUAAUUGUUGUAUCAAUUUAUUUUUAUAACCUAGUGUAUUUUCAGGAAGAGUAAAAUUAUUGAUUACGACGAUGCUAUCUUUAUAACAUAAAUAGGUUUCUAAAUUCUAAUGUAGACGUUCAUGCGUUAAAAAUAUAAAUACAAAGCAACACAUUGUUCUGUUCCUAAACAUUAUCCGAGGGAGAGCUAGUUAUGCAAGUUGUAAAAAAAAAAAAAAUGUACUUAAGUAUAUUUUAUAGUCUUCUGAGUUCAACUGUUAAAAAAUUGCCUAUAUGUCUUAGGGUUUAUUUGUGAUUGAAAUUUAAAAUCUACGGCACUAAAGUAUAUGGUAAACACUAGUUACUGUAACUUGAAAGUUAUGUUGAUAUGAAUUUUCAAUUGUAUGAUGGAAGAUCUAUUAUAUCUUUAAUAAUUUUGUUAAAAUUAUUAUUUAAAAUUUAUAUUUACUAUAUAUUAUCAAUUUUUGUUUCAUAAUUACAAUUUUUUCCAUAGCAGCUGUAACUUAAAAGUUACAGCACCUUAAUCCCAAAAAGAACUUUAUUGACGACUUCUCGACGUUAAAUCAUAACUUCGAUCAACUAGGGCUGUAAUUUUUUUUAAUAAUGUUACAGUCCCCUAAUAUUUAGAAUAAAGGGUCUACUAGAACUUUCUAAUCAAUUUUGUGACUGUGCAGUCAGAUUGGCUCUAAAUAACAUAAAUUAAUAUUAUAUAGUAAAUAUGAAAUAAAAAUUAAUAGUACAUAGUAAACACAAUUUUUAAACAAUAAUUUUGUUAAAAUUAAUAAAAAUAUAAUAGAUUUUUUAUCAUAUAAGUAUAAACUCAAAUCAACUUAACUUGCAAGUUACAAUAAUUAAUAUAUAAAAAAUAUUUUAGUACUAUAACUUUGAAAUUAUAAUUGUCUAAUUUCAAUUCCAACCGAGCUAGGGGUGGCAAAAAUACCCGCCUGGUCCAGACCCGUACCGCACCCGGGCGUUGUGGGCAUGGUAUUACCCAGCUUGAGUAUGAAGCCAGACCGAUCUUGAGCAUCACUUGAUAAAUUCGGAGCUCGGCUCGGAACCCAAAUUUUAUUAAAAAAAUAUUAUAAAAUAUAUACUAUUUUAAAUAUUUAUAUUUAUUUGACUCAUUUAUUACACAUAUAUAAAAUUUUAAACACUUAAAGUUUAUAUUUUUAUAUCAAAUUUUAUUGAAAUAAAUUUAAAACUUAUAAAAUUACCAAAAAAAAUAUACACAUAUAAUAUUAAAAAAUAUAAAAUUUAGGUACUCGCAUUAAAACUUGAUCCGAACAUCUAAAAAUUACAUCCAAACUAAGUCUGGACAUUGCGAUACCCGAACCCAACCCAGGAUUUUGCCAACCCUAAACCGAGCCUUCGACUUCUAAAUAAAUAUUUUGAAACAACGACGGAUAAAAUAAAUAAAGCCAUUCAAAUAGGAACGGACUAAUUCAUGGAGGCAUCAAUUCGUAAAGUUACAGUCGUGCCAGUGAACCAAUUCCUUAGAGCGAAAUGGACACACGGAAAGGACAAUAGGCCAGAGCAACCGACAUAAUUCACAUUAAGAAAAUGACAAUAAAGCUGAUUGAUAAUGAGAAAGACUUUGAGAGUGUAAAACGAAAUUAAAAUUAAAUAACCUACUUGCUUUGGUUUCUGUAAUUUGCCCUAAAAAGAGCAAUGAAAUUACGUAAUAAAUCCCGUGAUCAUCAUGUCCCAAUUCCCACCCACUCGGUCUGCUUGACCCUUGAUGGACGGUGGCCACAACAUCAUUACAGAUGUGGAUGAAAUUGAGCCAGCUAGGAUACCCCAACGUAAUGUCAUUUUUCUUUCUAAAUAGUCUAAGCGCAUUUAAGUAAUUUCCACAAAAUUCCAAGAAAAUGAUUGGUCGGUCACAAGAUAAGUAAGUAAAUUCAAUUUUAUACACCAAAUUGGAGCCCACCACCUGCACUCAUCACUCCCUGAUCCGGAUGAUAUAACCCCCUUCCCCCAACUUCUAGUACUCUCUCACUCAUUCUCAUCACAACAUCAAACGGCCACAAACAAAAAAGCAAGUGCUUCUUAUUGACUGUUUUGUGUUUUUGAGGGACUAGCAGAAAUGGAAGGUAAAGAAGAGGAUGUUAGACUGGGAGCCAACAAGUUCGCCGAGAGGCAGCCGAUUGGGACGGCGGCUCAGACCCAAGAUGGGAAGGACUACGUUGAGCCCCCACCGGCGCCGCUCUUUGAGCCCGGCGAGCUCAAGUCUUGGUCGUUUUACAGGGCCGGUAUAGCCGAGUUCAUAGCCACUUUUCUUUUCUUGUACAUCUCCGUACUGACAGUGAUGGGCGUCGUCAAGUCCAAUACCAAGUGCUCAACCGUCGGCAUUCAAGGGAUUGCAUGGGC
rnacentral:lncRNA from 1 species